UUGUACACACCGCCCGUCACACCAUGGGAGUGGGUUGCAAAAGAAGUAGGUAGCUUAACCUUCGGGAGGGCGCUUACCACUUUGUGAUUCAUGACUGGGUGAAGUCGUAACAAGGUAACCGUAGGGGAACCUGCGGUUGGAUCACCUCCUUACCUUAAAGAA
rnacentral:rRNA from 1 species